rnacentral:lncRNA from 1 species
AUGAUCUGCUUGGCUCUCUGCCUUUAUGGCCCUCUACUGGAGUCACUUAACCCCCCCCCCCCCCACUUGCAGAUUCAGCCCUGCUCCCAACCCUGUCUUCAGGCAGAGGGAAGGCACAACUACUGUUUCUCCUGCUUGUUUUUAGUGGUCUCUAGCCCAUCCCUGCAAGGAUCCCUGUUAGUCUCUGGUAAAGAUGGGCAUUUACAGCUGCUUAGAAACUGAGGAACAGGACAGAGAGAAAAGAAAUUUUUAAAUGAGAACGUGGGAAUAGUUCAGGACUACAGAACUGAAAGUCUGUUUUUUUUUUGAAUAAUUAAUUAAGAAAAGACAAAGACUCUAACAAUCAUGGUCCAGGAAGAGCUGACCUAUAGAAAAAUAAAAAUAGGAAAAGUCAGAAAAAAAUUGAUUGUCUCUAAGCUGAGGCAAACCUGAGCGAGCUUUAUUAGACUGUGUAUUAGUUAUCUAUUGCUGGAUAGCAAAUUACCUCAAAAGUUAGUGGCUUUAUUUUUUAAAUUUAUUUUUAUUUAUUUAUGAUAGAGAGAGAGAGAGAGGCAGAGACACAAGCAGAGGGAGAAGCAGGCUCCAUGCCGGGAGCCCGAUGCGGGACUCGAUCCUGGGACUCCAGGAUUGCACCCUGGGCCAAAGGCAGACGCGAAACCACUGAGCCACCCAGGAAUCCCCAAGUUAGUGGCUUUAAACAGCAAUAAAUAAUUAUUACCUCAUACAGUUUCUGUGAGUCAGGAAUUCAGAAGCUGCUGAGUUGGUGCUUCUGGUCCAAGGUCUCUCAUGAGGUCACAGUGAAGGUGUUGGCUGGGGCUGAGGUCAUCUGAAGGCUUUAUUAGGACUGGAGAGUAAUCUGUCACACAUUUGUGUGUGUGUUACCCUACAUGGGAGUCUUCACAAAGCUACUCGUGUCCUUAGGGCAUGCAGCUGCCUAUUCCUCAAGCAAGUAUCCGGAGAGAGGACAAAGUGGAAGCUAAAAUAUCUUUUUUAACUGAGGCUUGGAAAUCUAACUCCCAUUAUUUCUGUAAUACCCUAUUGGUUACACGGAUCAGCUCUAUUCAAAGCACGGCCUCCGAAAUGGUGAAUAGCAGGUGGCAAGAAUAAUCAGGGGACUCUCUUAAGAGACUUUCUUGGAGGCUGGGUUGGAGGCUAGUUAUUGCAAAUUAUGUUCUAUAAUUGCCUAAUGUGAUGUAGUCUCUUAGAUUUAUCAGACAGGUGGGUUCAACAGCGAGUGACAGAAGUAGUCAUGUACAGUUCUGAGCAUAUCACAUCUUUCUCAUGGCUGGUAAUCCUUUAAAAGGAAAACAUUGCUUCCUAAUAGUUCUAGCCAGGCUUUCAAAGAUGAAGCUCAAACAAAAACAAAAACAAAAACAAAAACAAAACAAAACAAAAAAACAAAAACAAAGAUGAAGCUCAUUGGCCUGGCUUGGGUCCAAUAAACAACUAUGAACCAAAUUGUUGUGAUGGGGUGGGGGCGGAAGGGGUCUACACAGGAAUAAUUCCAUCUGUACUGCAUGGACUGAGCAUGAGGGGUCCACCAGCAGUGUGGCUGGUUCUGGUUCUGGCCUGGUUCCCCCAAAAAGAAGAGAUGCAGGGCAAACAAUAGAAAAGAUGGCAGAUGCCCUCUAUAACCCCAGUAUUGUGGGGGUUUUUUGCUUUGUUUUGUUUUAUUUUUAAAGAUUUUAUUUAUUUACACCUGAGAGACACAGAGAGAGAGGCAGAAACAUAGGCAGAGGGAGAAGUAGGCUCCCCGCAGGGAGUUCAAUGUGAGACUCUAUCCCUGGACCAGGUAUUAUGCCCUGAGCCGAAGGCAGACACUCAACAGCUGAGCUACCCAGGCAUCCCUAACCCCAGUGUUAAAAAAGACUCACACUGUCCAUAUCUAAGGUCUUCUUUGGCUAGUAUAACAUCGCAUAUGUAUUUCCUUGUCUUUUUUCAUGAGCAUAUUUUUACCAUCUAAGUAUAUUGCAAAUAUGGAUAUAUCAUCUGACAAAAGAUACACAAGACCUGUACCCCAAAAACUAUGAAACAUGGUUGAAUUAAAGAAAACCGUAAACAAUGCAGAUAUACUUUGUUCAUAAAUUGGAAAUCAGAAUAUUGUUAAGAUGACAGUUAUUCCCAAAUUGGUCUAUUAAGUUAACGCAAUCCAAAUCAAAAUCCCAGAUAUAUCCUUUUUUGGUUCAAAUUGUUAAGGGGAUUAUAAAAUUUAUUUGGAAAUUCAGAGGACCUAGAAUUGCCAAAAACAACAAUAAAAAUGAACAAAGUAGAGAACUUACAUUAUCUAAAUUCAUAUAGCUACAGUAAUCAAGACAGUGUCUUAUUAACAUGAAGAUAGACAGAUUAAUGGGAGAAAACAUUCCAGAAAGAGGCCUGGGUACAUAUAUAUAUAUGACUUUCUUUCUCUCUCUCUCUCUGUGUAUAUAUAUAUAUACACACACACAUACAUUACACAUAUACAUAUAUAUAGUCAGAUGACUUUCAACAAAAGUACAAAGGUAAUUCCAUGGAUAAGGACUGUCUUGUCAAUAAAUGGUGCUGUAACAGUUGGCCAUCCACAUGUUAAAAAGUGAAAUUCAAUCCAUAUCUUACACAAUAUACAAAAAUAAACUCAAAAUGGAUCACAGACCUAAAUGUACAUCCUAAAACUAUAAACCUUCCAGGAGAAAAUCUUUGAAACUUUGGGUUGAUCAAAGCAGCAAAAGCAUAAUAUAUUUUUUAAAUGAUGUUAGACUUCAUCGAAUUAAGAUCUUUUAUUCUUCAAAAGACAGUAUUAGGAGACUGAGAAGACCUUCCAUAAAAUGGGCCAAAGCAUUCAUAAAUUACAUAUCUGAUAAAGGAUUUGUAUCCAGAAUAUGAAAAAAAACAACUCUCAAAACUCAAUAAUAAACCAUUUUUCAAAAGUCACCAAAAGAGUUGAACAGACUAACGAAAAUAUUUAGAUGGCAAAUAAGCCCAUGAAAAGAUGCUUAACAUGCAGAUUAAUGCAAAUUAAAAUCACAAUGAGAUACUAGUACAC